GAUCCACACUGGAGACUGGAAGCUCUCAGGGUGGAGCCUGCUGGACUCCCAUUCUUGACACCAGGUCUGAGGAAGUAUUCCUGUCAACUCACCAUCGACACAAACACAGUGAGCAGAGAACUCAAACUGUCUGAAAAUGACAAGAAUGUCACAUCUGUGGAGGAGCUUC